GAUGAACGCUGGCGGCGUGCUUAACACAUGCAAGUCGAGCGAGAAGUUUUGAAAAGAUUCUUCGGAUGAAAUUUAAAAUGGAAAGCGGCGGACGGGUGAGUAACGCGUAGGCAACCUGCCCCAUACAAAGGGAUAGCAUUUGGAAACGAAUAUUAAUACCUUAUGAAACUUAACUAGUGCAUGCUAGGUAGGUCAAAGAUUUAUCGGUAUGGGAUGGGCCUGCGUCUGAUUAGCUAGUUGGUGAGGUAACGGCUCACCAAGGCGACGAUCAGUAGCCGACCUGAGACGGUGAACGGCCACAUUGGAACUGAGACACGGUCCAAACUCCUACGGGAGGCAGCAGUGGGGAAUAUUGCACAAUGGGGGAAACCCUGAUGCAGCAACGCCGCGUGAACGAUGAAGGCCUUUGGGUCGUAAAGUUCUGUUCUAGGUGAUGAAAACUGACAGUAACCUAGGAGAAAGCCCCGGCUAACUCCGUG
rnacentral:rRNA from 1 species